AGAGCAGGAGCCCUCGGUGGCAGUGCUUGGGUGUCGAGGCUCUGAGGCUCCGGCCUCACCUCUCCACGGGGUCGAAGGGAACGUCUCCGGAUGCCAGGAGUCGCAAAGGGCCGACCAUGAUGAUGAAACCCCAGGCAGAGACGGGGGAAGCAGCACGGGAUCCCAGCCUCAGGCCUGCACGGACGGUGUUGGUUGGGAGACGAGGUCUCACUAUAUUGACCAGGCUGGUCUUGAACUCCUGGCCUUAAGCGAUCCUCCUGCCUUGGCCUCCCAAAGUGCUGGAGUUACAGAUGUGAGCCUCUGUGCUCAGUCCAUCCUUGGCUGUUCAAGUGUAGAGCCCUCAGCAACCACCACCUCGAUCAGUCACUAGCUAUCAACAUUGAGACAAGACCAUCCAGCAGCAAAAUGAUGAUGACUUACUGAAGGCCCAGAUGAUGGUUAGCAGUUUUUGGCAAUCACGUAUUUUCAAAGUCCAGUGUCUGAUUCUUUUGGGAAGCUGGAUAUGAAGUCAGAAUCUUUCUUUGAGUCAUACAUUUUCAUGAUUAUGAUUAUUAUUGAAUGAUAGCUGACAAUUAUUGAGAGCAAUUAUUGAGGACAAUUAUUGAGCUUUCACAAGCCCUUUUCAAAGGUCUUUACAUAUAUUUUCUCCACUUCUAACUGUUAGAUAUUCUUAUUAUUCCCAUUUUGUAGAUGAGGGAUACACAGGCAUAAAGCCUAUGUGGAGGCAGAGAGCAGCUACGUAACCUGACCAUGGCCCAACAGCAAACAAAUGAUGGGGCCACAUGCAAAUCCAGGCAGAAUCCUUCUAUUAUAUGAAGCUCAAUGUUUUCUUGUUUGCAGCUUGUUAUGAAUACAUCUAUUUGCAAAUGGGUUUUGAAGCUACUUUAAAACAUUUUGUGGCUGUGCGUGGUGGCUGGCACCUGUAAUCCCAGCAUUAUGGGAGACCAAGGUGGGCAGAUUGCCUGAGCUCAGGAGUUUGAGACCAACCUGGCCAACAUGGUGAAACCCUGUGCCUACUAAAAAUACAAAAAAAUUAGCCAGGUGUGUUGGUGUGCACCUGUAAUCCCAGCUACUCUGGAGGGUGAGGCAGGAGAAUCACUUGAACCCAGGAGAGGAAGGUUGCAGUAAGCUGAGAUCAUGCCACUGAACUCCAGCCUGGGCAACAGAGUGAGAUUCUGUCUCCAAAUAAAAAAUAAAUAAGAUUGAAUUUUGAGCUCCUGACCAUGUCCCUAGAUUGUACUCAUAUGUAUUUUGAUGUCUAAUAAGAUUUAUUCUCAGUGCAUUUUUUAAGUGAAAGUAUUUAUUGAGCAUCUACUGUAUAUCAUGUGCUGAAAUAGGCACCAGUGGUGCAGGGAACAUAUGGCACAGUGUCUGACCUCAGGUAACUUUCACUCUCAUACAUAUGUAUUAGGACACCAACACAUGUGUGAAUAUAAGAUAGUAUGAUAGAUAUUGCAACAAGUAAUUAUUUACUGUAAACCUAUUUUAUAGGAUUUUAAACUUAAACUACUUUCACCCUAUUUCCAAAAAAAAGUAUUGCAUAACUUUAAAUAGAUUCUCAGUUUGAAAUCAUCAUACAAACUGCAGUAGCAUCUGCUGGUGAAAUACUGCUUUGUAUCUAUUAGAAUAGUCCAAACAAUUGUGAGACAACUGCAUUAUUAGAGCUGUAAAAGUUAUUGUCUAGAAAUCUCAGAGAAGAAGAGGAAGUUCUAUGGUAGAUGAAUAAGAUGACAUCUAAACUGUUCUCUUCAGCUACUGAAGUUCUGUGGAUAUCUCACAGCACAAAGUUCAAGUGUAUGCCCACAGCUCCUCAUGCCACAAGAUGUGACACCUUUCCAAUCUCUUUUUGCAAAAGUUUCCAAUUAUGUCUCUUUUAAGAGUACUUUUUAUACCCACAUAUUCCAGAUUUUGUGGUGCACGCAAAGACAAGAUGGGAAGGGGCUUCCAUUUAUUGAUGCCAGCUGCUCCAUGGACCAGGCCCUGCCCAUGCAUCCAUGUUGGUUCUUUUAUCCCCACAUCAGCCAUAGCCCAUAAGCAUUAACUGCCAUUGCACAGAUGAGGAAAUUGAAAGUCUAAGAGAAUAUGCAAUCUACCCAGAGUCAUGCAGCUUGUGUAUGUAAGGGUUGGAAUGAAAAUCCAAUCUGUGUGAGUCCCAAGUCCCCUUCCACCAUAUGGUUUCCAUUUCAUUUUGCAAUCAGAUUGGCUGGGAUAUGUCUGCCCUAAAAGACAGUAAGUAGGAAUAUUUGUCUCUAUACCUUAACCUGACAUCCAUGGGCUUGCUUUUUGUAUUUGGAGGUGUCAUAACAUUAUAAUAAUAAUUUGAUUUUAUUUGUACAGUGGAUAUUAUACUACUCAGUCUAGAGAUUUAUGACAUCCCAGUCUAAACUGGAUGAUAGCAAUGAAGCUUCUUCAAGGAGACAAGUAUGAGUAAUAAGGUAGUAAUAAGCUGAAUUUCUAUGGAGUUGCUACUUCUGAAUUAAAACUAGUUGAGAUUAAGUAGAUAUUCAAAAAUAUUGCUAUAAUCUUCACUUGAAUAAUACAAACAUUUAUUAUUUUUACAUAUUUAUUUAUUUAUGGAACAUAGAUGUAAUUUUAAAACAAUAUUUUCAAAUUAUAUUAAAAUAUAUUAAAAACAUAAUACAUUAUCACCCAAUAGAGUUUUUCAAAGUAACUCAGUGUUAGUUUAAAAUGUGAAAUUCAAUCAACAUAAUUCACCAUAGAAUACAG
rnacentral:lncRNA from 1 species